UCCCUUCUGAAUAUAUUAGUUUUACAUUUGAUUCUAUUGCUCUAUCAGCAACUGCACUGAUUUAGAGCCAUGAUACACCCAGUGGCCUAAUUUCCAUGGAAAGAGGGGACUUUGGGAGUUCCCAUCGUGGCUCAGUGGUUAACGAAUCUGUCUAGGAACCGUGAGGUUUCGGGUUCAAUCCGGGCUUCACUCAGUGGGUUAAGGAUCCGGCAUUGCCGUGAGCGGUGGUGUAGGUUUCAGACGUGGCUCGGAUCCUGCGUUGAUGCGGCUCUGGUGUAGGCCGGCGGCUACAGCUCCAAUUGGACCCCUAGCCUGGGAAUCUCUGGCCCAAGAAAUGGCAAAAAGACAAAAAAAAAAAAAAAGGAGGGACUUUGUAGAGGUGGUCACCGAGGGGUUAACAAUGCCGUGAAUUUAAGUGGCACUUUUCUUGCUGAAAGAACAUUAUAAGCAUUAAUUAUGCUGUACAACAUGGGGGUGGGGAGGAGGAUGGGUGGUUCUCCUGUGGCCUGAGAAGGGCCAGCACAGGCCUGAAGGAUCCAGGGCAGGGAAGGGUCCCAAGACCUGAAAUGAGAACUCAGCUGUCACUUUUCCCAAAGCGUCACGAUCUCUUAAGCCUUAUGCCAGAUGCAGUACCUAUUUUUAUGUCCUAGGGCCAUGGCUUAAACUUUCAGUAUGUAUGUUUCCUUGGCUGUGUGAAGACAAUAAUAGCACCUACUGUACUAAGACUGCUCUAAGAAUAAAGUGUGAUACCGUUUACACAAGGCUUGGCCCUUAGGAAGUACUUAAUGAAUCAUGGCUGCAUUUUUUUUUAAUUUGCUUUGUAGGGCCGCACCUGGUCUCCUUUCAUGGGCAGCAUGCUUGGCUGUGAAGCACCUGGAAUAUCAGAGGUCCAAGAGAAGAGAUCCCACACCUGUUCCCCUGUGACUGUCUUCCUGCUAAAUACGCUCAAAGCGAUGCUUUGGGCAAAAGCCCACAGGAGCCAAAGAGAGACACAUCCUGCUCUGCUUGACACCCUGCCAGCAAUUGCCCUGCCCUGGGGGGAAGCUCAGAGGCCCAGGCCCCCAGUGCUCAUCAGACAUCUGUUGG
rnacentral:lncRNA from 1 species